rnacentral:rRNA from 1 species
AACUUUCAACAACGGAUCUCUUGGUUCUGGCAUCGAUGAAGAACGCAGCGAAAUGUGAUAAGUAAUGUGAAUUGCAGAAUUCAGUGAAUCAUCGAAUCUUUGAACGCACAUUGCGCCCCUCGGUAUUCCGGGGGGCAUGCCUGUUCGAGCGUCAUUA